UACGUAGGGACCAAGCGUUGUUCGGAUUUACUGGGCGUAAAGGGCGCGUAGGCGGGAUGGCAAGUCGGUCGUGAAAUCCCUCGGCUCAACCGAGGAACGUCGAUCGAUACUGCUGUUCUUGAGGAUUGCAGAGGAGACUGGAAUUCCCGGUGUAGCGGUGAAAUGUGUAGAGAUCGGGAGGAACACCGGUGGCGAAGGCGGGUCUCUGGGCAAUUCCUGACGCUGAGGCGCGAAAGCGUGGGGAGCAAACGGG
rnacentral:rRNA from 1 species